rnacentral:rRNA from 1 species
AUACCUACGGGAGGCAGCAGUGAGGAAUAUUGGUCAAUGGGCGGGAGCCUGAACCAGCCAAGUCGCGUGAGGGAAGACGGUCCUACGGAUUGUAAACCUCUUUUGCCGGGGAGCAACGGGGUCCUUGCAAGGACCCGAUGAGAGUACCCGGAGAAAAAGCAUCGGCUAACUACGUGCCAGCAGCCGCGGUAAUACGUAGGGGGCAAGCGUUAUCCGGAUUUACUGGGUGUAAAGGGAGCGUAGACGGUUGUGCAAGUCUGGA